rnacentral:rRNA from 1 species
UACGAAGGGGGCAAGCGUUGUCCGGAAUCACUGGGCGUAAAGGGCGCGUAGGCGGCUCAUGAAGGCUGUGGUGAAAGUCCGGGGCUCAACCUCGGAUCGGCCGUGGCGACUCGUGGGCUGGAGCACUGUAGAGGCGGGUGGAAUUCCGGGUGUAGCGGUGGAAUGCGUAGAGAUCCGGAAGAACACCAGUGGCGAAGGCGGCCCGCUGGGCAGUGGCUGACGCUGAGGCGCGACAGCGUGGGGAGCAAACAGG